GACGAACGCUGGCGGCGUGCUUAACACAUGCAAGUCGAACGGAAAGGCCCUGCUUUUGUGGGGUGCUCGAGUGGCGAACGGGUGAGUAACACGUGAGUAACCUGCCCUUGACUUUGGGAUAACUUCAGGAAACUGGGGCUAAUACCGGAUAGGAGCUCCUGCUGCAUGGUGGGGGUUGGAAAGUUUCGGCGGUUGGGGAUGGACUCGCGGCUUAUCAGCUUGUUGGUGGGGUAGUGGCUUACCAAGGCUUUGACGGGUAGCCGGCCUGAGAGGAUGGCCAGCCACACUGGAACUGAGACACGGUCCAG
rnacentral:rRNA from 1 species